GAUGAACGCUAGCGGCAGGCCUAACACAUGCAAGUCGAGGGAGAAGCCCUUUCGGGGGCAGAAACCGGCGCACGGGUGCGUAACGCGUAUGCAACCUACCUUUCACAGGGGGAUAGCCCGAAGAAAUUUGGAUUAAUACCCCAUAAUAUUAUUUGAUGGCAUCAUUUGAUAAUUAAAACUGCGGUGGUGAAAGAUGGGCAUGCGUCCUAUUAGCUAGUUGGAGUGGUAACGGCACCCCAAGGCUACGAUAGGUAGGGGUCCUGAGAGGGAGAUCCCCCACACUGGUACUGAGACAGGGACCAGACUCCUACGGGAGGCAGCAGUGAGGAAUAUUGAUCAAUGGUCGGAAGACUGAACCAGCCAUGCCGCGUGCAGGAAGAAUGCCUUAUGGGUUGUAAACUGCUUUUAUAUGGGAAGAAUAAGGCGUACGUGUACGUUGAUGACGGUACCAUAUGAAUAAGCAUCGGCUAACUCCGUG
rnacentral:rRNA from 1 species